UUGGGUGGUUAUUCCAAGGGUCUUCACCUCUUCCCAUACCGAACAGAGUAGUUAAAACCCCUCAUGGCCGAUGGUACUUGGGUAUUAUCCCUGGGAGAGUAGGUAGUUGCCAUAU
rnacentral:rRNA from 1 species